rnacentral:rRNA from 1 species
AUCUCAAAUCAGGUAGGACUACCCGCUGAACUUAAGCAUAUCAAUAAGCGGAAGGAA